GACGAACGCUGGCGGCGUGCCUAAUACAUGCAAGUAGAACGCUGAAGAGAGGAGCUUGCUCUUCUUGGAUGAGUUGCGAACGGGUGAGUAACGCGUAGGUAACCUGCCUGGUAGCGGGGGAUAACUAUUGGAAACGAUAGCUAAUACCGCAUAAAAUUGAUUAUUGCAUGAUAAUUAAUUGAAAGAUGCAAUUGCAUCACUACCAGAUGGACCUGCGUUGUAUUAGCUAGUUGGUGAGGUAACGGCUCACCAAGGCGACGAUACAUAGCCGACCUGAGAGGGUGAUCGGCCACACUGGGACUGAGACACGGCCCAGACUCCUACGGGAGGCAGCAGUAGGGAAUCUUCGGCAAUGGGGGGAACCCUGACCGAGCAACGCCGCGUGAGUGAAGAAGGUUUUCGGAUCGUAAAGCUCUGUUGUAAGAGAAGAACGGGUGUGAGAGUGGAAAGUUCACACUGUGACGGUAUCUUACCAGAAAGGGACGGCUAACUACGUGCCAGCAGCCGCGGUAAUACGUAGGUCCCGAGCGUUGUCCGGAUUUAUUGGGCGUAAAGCGAGCGCAGGCGGCUAGAUAAGUCUGAAGUUAAAGGCUGUGGCUUAACCAUAGUAUGCUUUGGAAACUGUUUAACUUGAGUGCAGAAGGGGAGAGUGGAAUUCCAUGUGUAGCGGUGAAAUGCGUAGAUAUAUGGAGGAACACCGGUGGCGAAAGCGGCUCUCUGGUCUGUAACUGACGCUGAGGCUCGAAAGCGUGGGGAGCAAACAGG
rnacentral:rRNA from 1 species